rnacentral:misc_RNA from 1 species
GAUGAGAACGUAGCGAAAUGCGAUAAGUAAUGUGAAUUGCAGAAUUCAGUGAAUCAUCGAAUCUUUGAACGCACAUUGCGCCCGCCAGUAUUCUGGCGGGCAUGCCUGUUCGAGCGUCAUUUCAACCAUCAAGCCCCAGGCUUGUGUUGGGGACCUGCGGCUGCCGCAGGCCCUGAAAACCAGUGGCGGGCUCGCUGUCACACCGGGCGUAGUAGAUUUUAUCUCGCUCAGGGCGUGCUGCGGGUCCCGGCCGUUAAAAGCCUUUUUUUACCCAAGGUUGACCUCGGAUCAGGUAGGAAGACCCGCUGAACUUAAGCAUAUCAAUAAGCGGAGGA